GAUGAACGCUGGCGGCGUGCCUAAUACAUGCGAGUCGAGCGAAAAGACGAGGAGCUUGUUCUCUUGCCGUUAGCGGCGGACGGAUGAGUAACAAGUGGAUCACCUACCUCUAUGUCUGGGAUAAUUUCGGGAAACAGCUGCUACUACUGGCUAAUAUAUCGUACCGCAUGGUUCAAUAGUGCUUGACGGUUUUGCUGUCACUUAUAGCUGGUUUCGCGCCGCAUUAGCUAGUUGGUAAGGUAACGGCUUACCAAGGCGACGAUGCGUAGCCGACCUGAGAGGAUGAUCGGCCACACUGGAACUGAGACACGGUCCAGACUCCUACGGGAGGCAGCAGUAGGGAAUCUUGCACAAUGGGCGAAAGCCUGACGCAGCAACGCCGCGUGAGUGAAGAAGGUCUUCGGGUCGUAAAGCUCUGUUAUUAGGAAAGAACAAAUGUAUAAGAAACCAUGCACGUCUUGACGGUACCUAAACAAAAAGCAACGGCUAACUUCGUG
rnacentral:rRNA from 1 species